AGAACGAACGCUGGCGGCAUGCCUAACACAUGCAAGUCGAACGAGACCUUCGGGUCUAGUGGCGCACGGGUGCGUAACGCGUGGGAACCUGCCCUUAGGUUCGGAAUAACUCAGAGAAAUUUGAGCUAAUACCGGAUAAUGUCUUCGGACCAAAGAUUUAUCGCCUUUGGAUGGGCCCGCGUAGGAUUAGCUAGUUGGUGGGGUAAAGCCUACCAAGGCGACGAUCCUUAGCUGGUCUGAGAGGAUGAUCAGCCACACUGGGACUGAGACACGGCCCAGACUCCUACGGGAGCAGCAGUGGGGAAUAUUGGACAAGUGGGCGAAAGCCUGAUCCAGCAAUGCCGCGUGAGUGAUGAAGGUCCGUUAGGGUUGUAAAGUCUACUUUACCCGGGAUGAUAAUGACAGUACCGGAGAAGUAAGCGUACCGCUAACUCCGUGCCAGCGAGCCGUA
rnacentral:rRNA from 1 species